rnacentral:rRNA from 1 species
AUUGAACGCUGGCGGCAUGCCUUACACAUGCAAGUCGAACGGUAACGCGGGGUCAACCCUGGCGACGAGUGGCGAACGGGUGAGUAAUACAUCGGAACGUACCUGGUAGUGGGGGAUAGCCCGGCGAAAGCCGGAUUAAUACCGCAUACGCACCACGGUGGAAAGCGGGGGACCGCAAGGCCUCGCGCUAUCAGAGCGGCCGAUGGCAGAUUAGCUAGUUGGUGGGGUAAAAGCCUACCAAGGCGACGAUCUGUAGCUGGUCUGAGAGGACGACCCGCCACACUGGGACUGAGACACGGCCCAGACUCCUACGGGAGGCAGCAGUGGGGAAUUUUGGACAAUGUGGGAAACCCUGAUCCAGCGAUGCCGCGUGUGUGAAGAAGGCCUUCGGGUUGUAAAGCACUUUUGUUCGGGAAGAAAUCUGUCGGGCUAAUACCCUGGCGGGAUGACGGUACCGGAAGAAUAAGCACCGGCUAACUACGUGCCAGCCGCCGCCGUAA